rnacentral:rRNA from 1 species
UACAGAGGUCUCAAGCGUUUGUUCGGAUUCAUUGGGCGUAAAGGGUGCGUAGGCGGCGCGGUAAGUCCGGGUGUGAAAUCUCGGGGCUUAACUCCGAAACUGCAUUCGAUACUGACCGGUGCUUGAGGGACUGGAGAGGAGACUGGAAAUUUACGGUGUAGCGGUGAAAUGCGUAGAUAUCGUAAGGGAAGACCAGUGGGCGAAGGCG